GAGAUGAUCCUUCACUAACCCUAGGAGGAGGGAACCUCCCCCCCUCAAUCAGUCGCUAGGGAUCUUCUCCAAAACCCCACCAAACCAGCCAGAACUCCUCAUCUCUUGACCCCAUACUGCCGACCAGCCACAACCAACAAAGAUCAACCCUAUCAGCCGCCCCCAGCUCUCUCUUCACUCUUCAACUCAGAAGCCAUACUCCCUCCUCUCAAAUCUGCCGCUGCACCACCCACCCUUCUAUAACCAUCGUCGCCGCACCAGCCCCCCUCUCCUUCCAUUCCAUUUUGCUUAAUCUCUCUCAUUUUCUCAUGAAAAAGCCAGCGACACUCACAAAGAAAAAAGAAAACAACAGCCAUCUCUUUGGAUAAAAAAUGGAACACAAUCUUUUAGUCGCAAUAGAAUUUCGAUCCAGAUUUGAAGUCUAUUUGAGUUCAUUUAGUCGGGGUGCCGUUCGAGGUUGAAAGUCAUAGUUUCAGUUGGCGUUUUCAUUUCCGGUUUGUCGAGGUAGUCGAAAGGUAUGGAUUAGUGUACCAGAGGUCGAGCAUGAUAGAUACCCCAGGACCAUCGCAUUUGGGAGCUUGUUUGAAGAGACUUUUUAUAUUUUGAGUCUGUUUUCAUAUUUUCUUUUACUUUCUUGUCUUGUAUACUAGUUUUGGGUCUUUUAGGUGGUGUAAGAGUUUGCCGAGUCUUUUGUCAUCAUACUUCCCAUUUGUAUUUGAAAAAAAAAUAGUUAUAAAUGAAAAUCCAAAAAGAUUUUUGUUUUUUAGUU